rnacentral:rRNA from 1 species
GUGGGGAAUAUUGGACAAUGGGCGAAAGCCUGAUCCAGCCAUGCCGCGUGUGUGAAGAAGGUCUUCGGAUUGUAAAGCACUUUAAGUUGGGAGGAAGGGCAGUAAGUUAAUACCUUGCUGUUUUGACGUUACCGACAGAAUAAGCACCGGCUAACUUCGUGCCAGCAGCCGCGGUAAUACGCAGGGUGCAAGCGUUAAUCGGAAUUACUGGGCGUAAAGCGCGCGUAGGUGGUUUUGUAAGUUGGAGGUGAAAGCCCCGGGCUCAACCUGGGAACUGCCUCCAAAACUGCAUGACUAGAGUACGGUAGAGGGUAGUGGAAUUUCCUGUGUAGCGGUGAAAUGCGUAGAUAUAGGAAGGAACACCAGUGGCGAAGGCGACUACCUGGACUGAUACUGACACUGAGGUGCGAAAGCGUGGGGAGCAAACAGGAUUAGAAACCCUUGUAGUCC